UUCCGGUCGGCUGACGCAUCCGCGCCCCGAGGCGUCGCAGGUCCCACCUGGAGCACCGGAGCGGGGACGGGCGUCUGGCUCCGAGGCGCUGGCUGACCUGGUUCCUCAGCACCUGCGGGCCGGGGCUGCUGAGCCCGCCCGGAAAGGUCGUUUCCCUCGCAGUUUCCAGUAUCUUCUGAGAUGUCCAUCAUUCAGUCUGGUCCUCAGUCAUUGAUCCAUACUAUCUGCGACUGAGAUGUCUUCAUUCCUGUCUGCCUAGUCCUUUCAGGACCUGAAAAAGCUAUUAAAAUAUUGUCCCCCUUUUCUGGGACUUCCCUGGUGGCGCAGCGGUUAAGAAUCCUCCUGCCGAUGCAGGGGACAUGGGUUCGAUCCCUGGUCCAGGAAGAUCCCACAUGCUGUGGAGCAACUAAGCCCGUGCGCCACAACUACAGAGCCUGUGCUGUAGAGCCCGCGAGCCACAACUACUGAGCCCAUGCGCCACAACUACUGAAGCCCGUGCGCCUAGAGCCCGUGCUCCGCAAUGAGAAGCCAUCACAAUGAGAAGCCCACGCACUGCAAUGAAGAGUAGCCCCCGCUUGCUGCAACUAGAGAAAGCCCUCGUGCAGCAAUGAAGACCAGACACAGCCAAAAAAAAAGAAAAAAAAUGUUUCCCUUUUCUAACUAUAUGUCUGUGUGAGGUUGGAUUUUCUUCGUAUACUUCAAUUUAGACAACUUAUCACAACAGAUUGAAUGCAGAAGCUGAUAUAAGGAGUGAUCUGCAUUAGUUUCCCAUUACUGUGUAACAGAUAUCCACAACCAUAGAAACUUAAAACAACACGCAUUUAUCAGUUUCCAGGAGUCAGGAGUCUGGGUUCAGGUGAGCUUCUCAGGGUCUUUGCUCAGGGUCUCACAAGGCUAAAAUCAAGACAUUACCCAGAGGUGCAAUCUUACCUGAGGCUCAGGGAUCCUCAGUCAAGUGCGUUGGUUACUGGCCGAAUGCAGUUGGCAAAAUUUGUAGCACCAAAGUCCCUGGCUCACUGUUGGCCAGGGACUGCUCUCAGCAACCAGAGGCUACCCACAAGUCCUUGGCACGUGACAGCAUUGGUCCUUGCCUCUCACAACACUGCAGCUCACUUCUCCAAAGCCAGCAGGAAAAUCUUACUCCAGGGAUUUCCCUGGACGUCCAGUGGUUAAGACUCUGCACCCCCAACGCAGGGGGCCCGGGGUCUAACCCUGGUCAGGGAACUAGAUCCCGCAUUCUGCAACUGCAGAUCCCGCAUGCCACAACUAAGACCUGGCACAGCCAAAUAAAUAAAUAAAUAUUAAAAAAAAAAACCUUCAGUCUGCUAUGAUGGAGUCUUGUAUAACAAUGUAAUCACGGGAGUGACUAUAUCCUCACCUUUGCCACAUUCUUUUGGCAAGAAGCAAGUAACAAUAAAUGGAGUAUAACCUUUAAAACUUGUGAAUCACUAGGUUGUACCCCUGAAACUUAUGUCAUAUUGUACAUCGACUAUAUACCUCAAUAAAAAAGGAAGCAAGUAACAGUUUCUCCCUCAUUCGCUUGACUCAUUGGGGUCACCUUAGGGUGUGUCCAUCAUUCCAGACAUUAAAGAUACGUGCAAAAACGUAAAACAGUGUUACUCUUCUUCCUAUUUAAAAAAUGUGUAAUUAAAAAUAUGUUAUUCAUGCUAAUAUGUAAUGAGUUUCUAGUUGUUAUUUUAAAUCAAUUAGUAAAGCAUUAUACUUCUCAAUUUAGUGUCUAAUAAAGUAAAUAUUGAUAGAUAUAAUCCACGUAAACACAGCUGUUUGGGCUCUUUAAUAGAUUUUAAGAGUAUAAAGUGUCCUGGGAGAACUGUUAAUAUAAUUAAUCCUAAUGGCAAACAGAUUAUGAACACCAAAUAGCUGGAGUUUUCCAAAUGCUUUUGCUGACCCACAGAAAUACAUGUUACGUUGUGACCCAGUAUACAUGUACGUAUGCAUAUACAUAUAUACACAGAUGCAUAACCAAGGCAAAAGUUUCAUGAAGUAAUACUUAUUCUUACGUGUAGUGCACAUUUCUACUGAUUGUUUGUCUUCUAAAAAUUCCUGGUCACAGUCCAACACAUUGAUUUCAUAAACCACUCAAUAGGUCAGGACCUGAAGUCUGAAAGUUCUGACUGAUCAUUAGAACCACUUGAAAAGCAUUUAAAAAUAUAGAUUUCCAGGGCUAAUAACUAUUUAUAUGAACAGGCAAGGUCAAGGAAAGAGUGAAUCUAUGUUUCUCCUCCCUUGAAACACUGCUGUGAGAACAAGUCUGGGUUGUUAUUUUUCUGAUGAUUAACUGAUUUUGACCACCAAAGGACUGAGUCAUGAGAGUACAUUCUAUGUUAUUCAGCAUCAGACAAUAAAUUCUAAGCAGAAGUGUCUCCAGGCAAAGAGAAGAGGUUACUGAAGUGUCCAGGGCUGUGCUUCUGGCAGCUCUGAGCUUGCUGCAUUGUUCCUGGUGGGUAGGAUCCUGCUGGGAAAGAAUCAGUUUUCCAGGAAUCCAGAGAAGUAGAUUAAAGUCACUGCCACAGAGGCGGGAGGCCUCUGCAGCCGAUGAGAAAGGGGUUCACGUUCUGGUAUGACCUUGGAAAAGUCAUGAACGAUCUAAAACUCUGCCUCCUAAUCCAUAAAGUGGGAAGAAAGGUGCCUGUCUGGCUGUGUCAUUUGUGAGGGUCAGUGAGGUGCUGGUGCCUGGCACACGCUGUAAGUGUCCCAAGACGGCAGGCAGGUGGUUUCCUUGCUGCCCUUGGCAGUGGUUUGCCAUUUGAAGUUGGCCAAGUCACUGAGGUCCCGGGGAUACUGGAAACAGUGCUGCUGGCUUGUCUACCUCCCAGUUGGUGUCUGAAGGUCAAAUGAGAAAGUGGACGGAAGGAAGAAAAUGUGAUGUGCUGUUAAGAGGAGGCUCCCAGAACAGAGCUGGAGAACAGAACCUAUGCUGUGGCGACAGGCCCUGGGGACCCAGAGGUUAGGUGAGCAGGUGCAGAGCAAGAGCACACACGUGCCACAUGUCCCAGCAAGGAGCCUCUGAACAUGAGGGGUGGGAUGCAGGGAAUAACCCCCUUCUGGUUGCAGGCGCUUCGUGUGCCUUAAUCUCAACUCAUCCCACCACAACAACGUCAUGGAAAUAUUACUACUCAAAUGAGAAAACUGAGACUCAACCAGGGUGAAUAACCGGCCAAGGUCACGCAGCUUGUAGAUGACACGGUAGAUGCCCCACUUGUGCAGCUGGGAGAGGAUGGGAUGCUGCAGCAGCUGCUGCCCAAACUUGCCGAUGGGGGUGCCCUGGCUGCUUGGGGCUGGGAGGACCAGUGCACUGCUCACCCGUGGGGACCCGGCAGCCAGCUGGAUGGGCCCUCUAGCUGAGCCUCCCAUGACCACCAGGGGGCAUUCAUGGGACCUUCUGCAGAUGAGGAGCUUGGUUCCCAGGACUGGCUUGUGUCUGAAGACUGCCCAGUGGAUAAGAGUGUGACACCAGUGACAGCAGCUCCACCCUCCCAUUCACCUUUGCCAGCUGCCUCAUGGUCAUGACACUAGUCACAAGAAGAGAAGAAGGGGUCAGUAGCUCCCCUCCCCAGCCACUCCCUCCCGCCUACUAGAUUCCAACUCUCUCUCUCUCUCUCUCUGUCUCUCUCAUACAGCCACAUGAAUAGUUUCUACAACAGACACCAGAUAAUUGUCAUCCUACACAAUUGUAUUCUUUCAGGUUUAUAAGAAACAGUGCUGAUUCCAUCAUCUUCUCCAUUUUCCAGCUGCUAUAAAAUGGUAUUUGCAGCACUCUUUACAAGAUACAUCUCAUCUCAUCUCCAAGCAUCUCCUGAUGCUGCUAAGCAAAGAUGAUAAAUAUCUAUGGAUAAGCAACCUUGCAACCAUCUGUCUCUAACAUAAGAUAACAUAGGUCAUGGUAAUUUCUCCAAAGUGCAUCCAUCUUCUAUUGAGAUGAAACCAUUCAGGCAUGUGGUAAAUUCAGAUAGAUUCAAGAUGUGACAACAGAGAUUUCCUGAGUCCCCCAGGAAGAGUAACCUAAAACAGUGGUUCUGAGCCUCGGCUGCACAAUGGACUCGCCUGGAGAGCUUUAGAAAAACUGAUGCCUGGGUCCCAUCCCGAGUUUCUGAUUUACUUGCUCUCGAGUGCAGCUGGGUGCCAGAGUAUUUAAAAGCUUCCUGGGUGAUCUGAUAUGCAGCCAAGCUUGAGAACCACAGAUCUAAAAGAUUAGGGAAAUUGGGCUCAAGAACAAUGAUUAAAGGACCGGAUCUGGUUAUUCCAGAGGCAGGAAGGUGACAACUGCUCUUCGGUGUCUUCCAUCGACUUUCUGGUAUUUGUGCUAAUUGAAGGGAAGACUGUCAUGAACACCUGUCAGAUCUUACAUUUGAAAGUUCUUUUAUAGUUUGCAAAGCAUUUGAUCUUAUUUUAACCUCUCCACAAUCCUGGGAGGUAGGCAGGGUAACCAUGCUUACAGGAGAAACAGGAGCCUCAGAGAGCUGAGUGAUUUGCAAAGACAUAAGUGGGAGAACCAUUUUGGGAGAACCAUUAUCCAGAAUUUCUGGCAGCCCAAAAGUCCAAACAGUUUUAUUUGCACUAUUAAACUCCUUUGUCCUCCCUGAGGCAGAACAAAAUCUGUUCAUGGGUAAAAGGUAGGAAACCUUUUAAGAGAAGAUGAAGUGACAGAGAAAAAAACCAACCAAAAUGAAAAGUUCCUCAGAAAGCAGAUAACAAGGAGCUGUCUUCACAUGAGUGACAAAGAGCAGUGGCUAUUGCUGUAUUUUUUCCUGUGUACAUAGGGCAGAAGAUUACUAUGUCAACAGAAGGUUAGAUAAGCGAAGGAACUUUCUAGCUUUCUCAUCCAUGAGCCCUUCAGCUGGAACCUUAUAUGUGGCCCUUGAAACAAGAAUAAAGUGGGAGGGGGGACUCUGAAUUGCCUCAGGAUGGGAUUGAAGGUAAUAUUAAGUUCUUUGAAAGAACUAAAAGGAUUUUACAAGAGUCAGUAACAAGGAAAACCGUUUUAAUAUUAAGCUAUUCAAAUUUGCAAAGAAUAGGUCCCUGAGAUAUUAGGUUGCUCUCAUUCACAGCUAGAGUAAACUUUGGAAGCUGGUUUUUUUUUUUUUUUUUUUUUUUUUUUUGCAGUACGCGGGCCUCUCACUGUUGUGGCUUCUCCCGUUGCGGGGCACAGGCUCUGGAUGCGCAGGCUCAGCGGCCAUGGCUCACGGGCCCAGCCGCCCCGCA